CCUCGGGGGGCUGCAGUAAGGAAUAUUGGUCAAUGGACGAAAGUCUGAACCAGCCAUCCCGCGUGCAGGAUGAAAGCCCUAUGGGUUGUAAACUGCUUUUAGCAGAGAAGAAAAGCUUUCAUUAAUGAGAGUCUGACGGUAUCUGCAGAAUAAGCACCGGCUAACUCCGUGCCAGCAGCCGCGGUAAUACGGAGGGUGCGAGCGAUAACCGGGAUUACAGGGUGCGAAGGGGGCGUAGGCGGAGUGUGGUGAAAUCUUGUCGCUUAACGAUACAAUUGCCAAUGAUACUGGUACUCUUGAAUUGGGUUGAGGUUAGCGGAAUGUGACAUGUAGCGGUGAAAUGCAUAGAUAUGUCAUGGAACACCAAUUGCGAAGGCAGCUAACUGGGCCUUGAUUGACGCUGAGGCACGAAAGCGUGGGUAGCGAACAGGAUUAGAUACCCUUGUAGUC
rnacentral:rRNA from 1 species